GGAGUCAUGGCUCAGUUGUAGAACAUCUGAUUUGCAUGCAGAAGGUCACAGUUUCAAUCACUAAUGUUUCCA